UUGGGGGGACUGUUGUCCGACUGUUGUUUUUUGGGGUUGGCUGACUGUUGGUCCUCCAGGAGGUGAGGAUGGUCCUCCAGGCGGUGUUGGUGGGGUGGGAGGUCCUCCAGGAGGUGAAAUUGGUCCUCCAGGAGGUGAAGAUGGUCCUCCAGGAGGGGAGGAUGGUCCUCCAGGAGGUGUUUGGGUGUUGGUGGGGUGGGAGGUCCUCCAGGAGGUGAGGAGGUGAGGAUGGUCCUCCAGGAGGUGUUGUCCGACUGUUGCUGGGGCAGGAGGUGAGGAUGGUCCUCCAGGAGGUGUUGUCCGACUGUUGCUGGGAUGGGAGGUGAAGAUGGUCCUCCAGGAGGUGUUUUCUGACUGUUGUUGGGACAGGAGGUCCUCCAGGAGGUGCUGUCUGACUGUUGGUGGGUUGGGAGAUAAAGAUGGUCCUCCAAGAGGUAAACAUGGUCCUCCAGGAGGUGUUGUCCGACUGUUGGUUGGGUAGGAGGUGAAGCUGGUCCUCCAGGAGGUGAGGAUGGUCCUCCAGGAGGUGAGGAUGGUCCUCCAGGAGGUGUUUUCCAACUGUUGUUGGGACAGGCGGUCCUCCAGGAGGUGCUGUCCGACUGUUGGUGGGAUGGGAGGUCCUCCAGGAGGUGCUGUCCGACUGUUGGUGGGUUGGGAGAUAAAGUUGGUCCUCCAGGAGGUGAAGCUGGUCCUCCAGGAGGUGAGGAUGGUCCUCCAGGAGGUGAAGAUGGUCCUCCAGGAGGUGUUUUUUGACUGUUGUUGGGAUGGGAGGUCCUCCAGGAGGUGCUGUCCGACUGUUGUUGGGACGGGAGGUCCUCCAGGAGGUGCUGUCCGACUGUUGGUGGGAUGGGAGGUCCUCCAGGAGGUGCUGUCCGACUGUUGGUGGGUUGGGAGAUAAAGUUGGUCCUCCAGGAGGUGAAGCUGGUCCUCCAGGAGGUGAGGAUGGUCCUCCAGGAGGUGAAGAUGGUCCUCCAGGAGGUGAGGAUGGUCCUCCAGGAGGUGUUGUCUGACUAUUGCUGGGAUGGGAGGUGAAGAUGGUCCUCCAGGAGGUGAAGUUGGUCCUCCAGGAGGUGAGGAUGGUCCUCCAGGAGGUGUUUUUUGACUGUUGUUGGGAUGGGAGGUCCUCCAGGAGGUGCUGUCCGACUGUUGUUGGGACGGGAGGUCCUCCAGGAGGUAAACAUGGUCCUCCAGGAGGUGUUUUCCGACUGUUGCUGGGACGGGCGGUCCUCCCGGAUGGACUGUCUGACUGUUGGUGGGUUGGGAGAUAAAGAUGGUCCUCCAGGAGGUAAACAUGGUCCUCCAGGAGGUGUAGUCUGACUGUUGCUGGGAUAGGAGGUGAGGAUGGUCCUCCAGGAGGUGAAGAUGGUCCUCCAGGAGGUGAGGAUGGUCCUCCAGGAGGUGUUUUCUGACUGUUGUUGGGACGGGAGGUCCUCCAGGAGGUGUUUUCCGACUGUUGUUGGGACAGGAGGUCCUCCAGCAGGGACUGUCCGACUGUUGGUGGGUUGGGAGAUAAAGAUGGUCCUCCAGGAGGUAAACAUGGUCCUCCAGGAGGUGUUGUCUGACUGUUGCUGGGAUAGGAGGUGAGGAUGGUCCUCCAGGAGGUGAAGAUGGUCCUCCAGGAGGUGAGGAUGGUCCUCCAGGAGGUGUUUUUUGACUGUUGUUGGGAUGGGAGGUCCUCCAGGAGGUGCUGUCCGACUGUUGUUGGGACGGGCAGUCCUCCCGGAUGGACUGUCUGACUGUUGGUGGGUUGGGAGAUAAAGAUGGUCCUCCAGGAGGUAAACAUGGUCCUCCAGGAGGUGUUGUCUGACUGUUGCUGGGAUAGGAGGUGAGGACGGUCCUCCAGGAGGUGAAGUUGGUCCUCCAGGAGGUGAGGAUGGUCCUCCAGGAGGUGUUUUUUGACUGUUGUUGGGAUGGGAGGUCCUCCAGGAGGUGCUGUCCGACUGUUGUUGGGACGGGAGGUCCUCCAGGAGGUAAACAUGGUCCUCCAGGAGGUGUUGUCCGACUGUUGCUGGGACGGGCGGUCCUCCCGGAUGGACUGUCUGACUGUUGGUGGGUUGGGAGAUAAAGAUGGUCCUCCAGGAGGUAAACAUGGUCCUCCAGGAGGUGUAGUCUGACUGUUGCUGGGAUAGGAGGUGAGGACGGUCCUCCAGGAGGUGAAGUUGGUCCUCCAGGAGGUGAAGUUGGUCCUCCAGGAGGUGAAGAUGGUCCUCCAGGAGGUGUUUUUUGACUGUUGUUGGGAUGGGAGGUCCUCCAGGAGGUGCUGUCCGACUGUUGUUGGGACGGGAGGUCCUCCAGGAGGUAAACAUGGUCCUCCAGGAGGUGUUGUCCGACUGUUGCUGGGACGGGCGGUCCUCCCGGAUGGACUGUCUGACUGUUGGUGGGUUGGGAGAUAAAGAUGGUCCUCCAGGAGGUAAACAUGGUCCUCCAGGAGGUGUAGUCUGACUGUUGCUGGGAUAGGAGGUGAGGAUGGUCCUCCAGGAGGUGAAGUUGGUCCUCCAGGAGGUGAGGAUGGUCCUCCAGGAGGUGUUUUUUGACUGUUGUUGGGAUGGGAGGUCCUCCAGGAGGUGCUGUCCGACUGUUGUUGGGACGGGAGGUCCUCCAGGAGGUAAACAUGGUCCUCCAGGAGGUGUAGUCUGACUGUUGUUGGGACGGGCGGUCCUCCCGGAUGCCCUGUCCGACUGUUGCCGGGCUUUUGUUUCCCUCCACCCACACGGGGGCGUCCUCCGUCUUUCUGGCC